UACGUAGGGGGCAAGCGAUACUCGGAAUCAUUAGGCGUAAAGCGCAGGUAGGCGGUUUGGCACGUCUUUUGUGAAAGCUCCCGGCUUAACUGGGAGAGGUCAAAGGAAACUGCCAGACUAGAGUGUGGUAGGGGAUACUGGAAUUCCUGGUGUAGCGGUGAAAUGCGUAGAUAUCAGGAGGAACACCGAUGGCGAAGGCAGGUCUCUGGGCAUUAACUGACGCUGAGGAGCGAAAGCAUGGGGAGCGAACAGG
rnacentral:rRNA from 1 species